GACGAACGCUGGCGGCGUGCUUAACACAUGCCAGUCGAACGCUGAAGCUCAGCUUUUGUUGGGUGGAUGAGUGGCGAACGGGUGAGUAACACGUGAGUAACCUGCCUCCUUCUUUGGGAUAACGCCCGGAAACGGGUGCUAAUACUGGAUAUUCACUGGUCUUCGCAUGGGGGUUGGUGGAAAGGGUUUUUCUGGUGGGGGAUGGGCUCGCGGCCUAUCAGCUUGUUGGUGGGGUGAUGGCCUACCAAGGCUUUGACGGGUAGCCGGCCUGAGAGGGUGACCGGUAACAUUGGGACUGAGAUACGGCCCAGACUCCUACGGGAGGCAGCAGUGGGGAAUAUUGCACAAUGGGCGCAAGCCUGAUGCAGCGACGCCGCGGGAGGGAUGGAGGCCUUCGGGUUGUGAACCUCUUUCGCUCAUGGUCAAGCCGCAACAAUGGUUGUGGUGAGGGUAGUGGGUAAAGAAGCGCCGGCUAACUACGUG
rnacentral:rRNA from 1 species